UAGGGAAUCUUCGGCAAUGGGGGGAACCCUGACCGAGCAACGCCGCGUGAGUGAAGAAGGAUUUCGGUUCGUAAAACUCUGUUGUUAGAGAAGAACAGCGCAUAGAGUAACUGUUAUGCGUGUGACGGUAUCUAACCAGAAAGCCACGGCUAACUACGUGCCAGCAGCCGCGGUAAUACGUAGGUGGCAAGCGUUGUCCGGAUUUAUUGGGCGUAAAGCGAGCGCAGGCGGUCAAUUAAGUCUGAUGUGAAAGCCCCCGGCUCAACCGGGGAGGGUCAUUGGAAACUGAUUGACUUGAGUGCAGAAGAGGAGAGUGGAAUUCCAUGUGUAGCGGUGAAAUGCGUAGAUAUAUGGAGGAACACCAGUGGCGAAGGCGACUCUCUGGUCUGUAACUGACGCUGAGGCUCGAAAGCGUGGGUAGCAAACAGG
rnacentral:rRNA from 1 species